UAAGCACUCGGUGAAGUAGGUGAACAAGCUGGAAAGCUUGGCGAUACAGGGUGAUAGCCCCGUAACCGACGCUUCAUCGAGCGUGAAAUCGAGUAGGGCGGGACACGUGAUAUCCUGUCUGAAUAUGGGGGGACCAUCCUCCAAGGCUAAAUACUCCUGACUGACCGAUAGUGAACCAGUACCGUGAGGGAAAGGCGAAAAGAACCCCUGUGAGGGGAGUGAAAUAGAACCUGAAACCGUGUACGUACAAGCAGUAGGAGCACCUUCGUGGUGUGACUGCGUACCUUUUGUAUAAUGGGUCAGCGACUUAUAUUCAGUGGCA
rnacentral:rRNA from 1 species